AAAUGGGAGAACAGUUCGUUGGGUAGGAAGUUGAUUGUUCAGAAGAGAAGAGCUACACUAAACGAUUUUGACAGAUUCAAGAUUAUGUUGGCUUAAAUCAAGAGAGCUAGAGUUGUCAGGCAAGAGCUUGCAAAGCUCAAGAAGAGCUCAGUUGCGGCUGCAUAAGAUAUUUCUAUAGUUUUCAAGAUGACUUUAAGAUUUGUGUUUGUUUCUUUGUUACUUUUUGAACAAUUUGUGGGUUUUUUUUGGGUGAAACUUGCAGGAACAUGAGUCACAUUAAAUGUUAUUUGUUUCAACUUUGUCAA